rnacentral:rRNA from 1 species
GACGAACCGAGCGAACGUUGUUCGGAAUCACUGGGCUUAAAGGGCGCGUAGGCGGGCGAUCAAGUCCGGGGUGAAAGCCCCCAGCUCAACUGGGGAGGUGCCUCGGAUACUGACCGCCUCGAGGGAGAUAGGGGCGUGCGGAACUUCCGGUGGAGCGGUGAAAUGCGUAGAUAUCGGAAGGAACACCGGUGGCGAAAGCGGCGCGCUGGAUCUCUUCUGACGCUGAGGCGCGAAAGCCAGGGGAGCGAACGGG